UGCGAGUCGCUCUGAAACCUCUCAGGGUCUGUUGAAGCCUCGCAGCGCAACCCUCAUUUUAAUAAAAAGCUCUCUUUGUGUCGUGGCGUCAUUUUCCUGCCUGAGCACACUCUUUUCAUUACAGAGGCUUCCUGUCACUUCCCAUCAGCCUCGGGGAGAGGUGGGGAUUCACCUCGCCAUCGACAGAGAGGACGAGGCCCGGCAGGCGACACUGCUGACGCUUUUAUACUGAAGGGACAUUUACGUUUCCUGUCUGACAGAUUGUUUGUUUUGGUUUUUUUGGGCUGACUUUGGAAAAUCAGUUUUGAAAUGGAAAUACGAAAAGUUCAACAGAAAGAGUUUUCACGCUGGGCUGAGGUGAAGGAAUUGGCAAAAGCAAAGAGAAGAAGAAACAACAGCUGACAGAAGAAUGAAUGUUUACUUCCUCUACACGGCGUUCUGUUCAGACCCUGAACGCCACUGGAGCUUCUUCCUUCCUGUGGACAUCCAGUUAUUCACUGCGUGAUGAGCAACUGUAACGAAGCACUUUCCCCUCCAGGGAUCAACUGAGUUUUUCUGAACUAAUUUUAACAAUUAACUUCCUGUAUUUUACAGCUGCAAUAAUUGAUUAAUCAUUUACAAAUAAAUAAAUAUAAAAUUUUC